rnacentral:rRNA from 1 species
UACAGAGGUCCCAAGCGUUGUUCGGAUUUACUGGGCGUAAAGGGUGCGUAGGCGGUUACAAAAGUCCGAUGUGAAAUCUUGGAGCUUAACUCCGAAACUGCAUUGGAUACUAUUUAACUAGAGUAGUGGAAGGGAGACUGGAAUUCUCGGUGUAGCAGUGAAAUGCGUAGAUAUCGAGAGGAACACCAGUGGCGAAGGCGAGUCUCUGGACACUAACUGACGCUGAGGCACGAAAGCCAAGGGAGCAAACGGG